UACAGAGACUGCAAGCGUUAUUCGGAUUCACUGGGCGUAAAGGGUGCGUAGGUGGCGCCGUAAGUCAGGUGUGAAAUUUCGGAGCUUAACUCCGAAACUGCAUUUGAUACUGCGGUGCUUGAGGACUGGAGAGGAGACUGGAAUUCACGGUGUAGCAGUGAAAUGCGUAGAUAUCGUGAGGAAGACCAGUGGCGAAGGCGGGUCUCUGGACAGUUCCUGACACUGAGGCACGAAGGCUAGGGGAGCAAACGGG
rnacentral:rRNA from 1 species